UGCGAUGAUGAUGAGUCAAAUUAAUCUCGUUAAUCUGAGAUUAAUAUGAGGAAAAAUUCUCUAUGACCCAAAAAAAAAAAAAUUCUAUUUGUUCUGGUUUUGC
rnacentral:snoRNA from 1 species